rnacentral:rRNA from 1 species
AUGCAAGUCGAACGGUUUGAUUGGCUUCGGUCAAUCAGAUAGUGGCGGACGGGUGAGUAACGCGUGGGAAUCUGCCCUGGAGUGGGGAACAACCGCUGGAAACGGCGGCUAAUACCGCAUACGCCUCUUCGGAGGGAAAGCCUUUUAUGCGCUCUAGGAUGAUCCCGCGUCCGAUUAGCUAGGUUGGAGGGGUAACGGCCCACCAAGGCGACGAUCGGUAGCUGGUCUGAGAGGAUGAUCAGCCACACUGGGACUGAGACACGGCCCAGACUCC